AUUGAGCACUAAUAAUGCACGAAGAGUUUGCUAAGAACUUUCCUUUAUUAUUUCAUUUGUCUCACAAUUACCUGUAGGUAAAUAUAUCUUAUAUAUCCUGUAUUUCUCUCUUUUUCAAAUGAGAAAUUAAGUCUCAAAGAGGCUAAGUGGACCUGACACUGGGUAGUUGUUUUUAUGUUACUUUGGCAUAAAAAUUAUCUUCUUUUUCUUUUUUUAAUUUUACUUUCAGUUCUGGGAUACGUAUGCAGAACAUGCAGGUUCGUUCCAUAGAUAUACAUGUGCCAUGGUGGCUUGCUGCACCUAUCAACCCGUCGUCUAGGUUUUAAGCCCCACAUGCAUUAGACCUUUGUCCUAAUGCUCUCCCUCCCCUCACCCCUCACCCCCCACUCCCAAAUAGGCCCAGGUGUGUGAUGGUCCCCUCCCUGUGUGUGAGAAUGAUGAACAGCCACAGCCACGCUGGGCCUGUGCUUGUACAACAAACUUGACUUUGCUUCUGCGCUUCCCAGAAGACACUCCAGCAUGCUCUGGGAGUAGGCAUACUGGGUAUUUGCACCUGAUGUGCAAGAAAGAGUGCUUGGAAGAUCACAGAAGAGUCAGACAGGAGGAGAGCCGAGGGGUUGAAACCCUCCCGCGAACAGGUACCUGGCACGUACCUGGCACACCAUUCUCCUCCGGAGAGUGCUGCUCUGUCGCCCAGGCUGGAGUGCAGUGGCACAGUCACAGCUCACUGCAGCCUCAAACUCCCGGGCUCAAGUGAUCCUCCUCUCCUGCCCUCAAGGGAUCCCAAAUAAAUAUAUUUAUUUCUAAAUUCAUUCUAAAUGUUUGCAAUGUUAAGUAUGUGUGGCAAAAGAACAGAUACCUUUCAUUUUUUCAAUCACCUUUCAAAUAUUGUUACAAAAGCACAUAUUACUGUGAAAUAGUCGUAAUUUCAGAAAGAAAUUAUUCUUCAUUCAACUUCUCUUAAGAUUUUUAAUUAAACUUUUUAUUUUGAAAACAUUCAGAACCUACAGCAAAGUUGCAAGAAUAUUACAAGUUAAUGAUUAUAUGCUCUUCCCCUCUAUUCUCCCACCAUUGAUACUUAGCCAUGCCAACUCUCUCCAUCUCUAUAUUCUACACAUUUACAGUGCAAUUAUCAAAUUUAGAAAACUUAACAUUGACACAAUGCUAUUAUCUAAUAUGUGGUGAAUAUUCAAAUUUUGUUGAUGGUUACAAAAUUGCCUUAAAAGCAACUUUUUGUUCCUCUUUCUUCUGUGCAGACGUGAGUGGCCUCCAGGCCAUAGCAGUGUGACCUUGGUUUGUCUGCAGCAUCCAUCCAGGCACGUGGGAAAUGUUGUUUUCAGGGACACUGAAAUGUGGAAUUUAUUCAAAAACCACCCGUCCUCCUCCUCCUCCCUGGCUGCCAGAGUUUUGGGAGCAAAUCCUGUAACCGUGCAGAUGCCCUCCCUGAGGUGUGUCCCUGCAGCCUGCCUUCAUUCUCCUUGUGGUCAGGGAGAGGUGGCUCCCAGCUCCUCCCAAGCCUUCACUGCAGUUCCAGAGCUUCCAUCUGGACCCUCCCCUCUCAUAGUUUCUGCCCACCCUCAGCCACACGGCACUAGAGCAUGAGCUUCUCGGGGGCAGGACCAGACCUUAUGCAUCUUGACACUCCAUGGUGCCUAACACGUGUUCUUACCAUGGGGGUGUGGUCCUGGGACACGCAGCCCGGCCUCCCUGAGAUCUGAAGGACUGAGGGCUUCAUGCCCCGCUGCUGUGAGUGCUGCCAGCACCAUCCCCUGCCUGCCCUCUCUCUAGACAUUGCCCUCUGCUGAAGGGACCCACCCUGACCAUGGUCCCUGGAGCAGCCUCAGUUGAGUGAUGUACUUGUGAUAAGAGGGCCCUGCCCCUCUCACCCCGAUUCCGCACAACCUU
rnacentral:lncRNA from 1 species